AUUGAACGCUGCCGGCAUGCCUUACACAUGCAAGUCGAACGGCAGCAUGGUCUAGCUUGCUAGAUUGAUGGCGAGGGGCGAACGGGUGAGUAAUUCAUCGGAACGUGCCCUUUGGUGGGGGAUAACUAGUCGAAUGACGAGCUAAUACCGCAUACGCCCUGCGGGGGAAAGUGGGGGAACGCAAGGCCUCCUGCUAUAGGAGCGGCCGAUGUCUGAUGAGCUUGUUGGUGAGGUAAAGGCUCACCAAGGCGAAGAUCAGUAGCUGGUCUGAGAGGACGAUCAGCCACACUGGGACUGGAAAACGGCCCAGACUCCUACGGGAGGCAGCAGUUGGGAAUUUUGGACAAUGGGGGCAACCCUGAUCCAGCAAUGCCGCGUGUGUGAAGAAGGCCUUCGGGUUGUAAAGCACUUUUGUCCGGAAAGAAAUCGCACUUACUAAUAUUAGGUGUGGAUGACGGUACCGGAAGAAUAAGGACCGGCUAACUACGUGCCAGCCGCCGCCGUAAUAC
rnacentral:rRNA from 1 species